rnacentral:rRNA from 1 species
UAGGGAAUCUUCGGCAAUGGACGAAAGUCUGACCGAGCAACGCCGCGUGAGUGAAGAAGGUUUUCGGAUCGUAAAACUCUGUUGUUAGAGAAGAACAAGGACGUUAGUAACUGAACGUCCCCUGACGGUAUCUAACCAGAAAGCCACGGCUAACUACGUGCCAGCAGCCGCGGUAAUACGUAGGUGGCAAGCGUUGUCCGGAUUUAUUGGGCGUAAAGCGAGCGCAGGCGGUUUCUUAAGUCUGAUGUGAAAGCCCCCGGCUCAACCGGAGAGGGUCAUUGGAAACUGGGAGACUUGAGUGCAGAAGAGGAGGGUGGAAUUCCAUGUGUGGCGGUGAAAUGCGUAGAUAUAUGGAGGAACACCAGUGGCGAAGGCGGCUCUCUGGUCUGUAACUGACGCUGAGGCUCGAAAGCGUGGGGAGCAAACAGG